CACAGAGAGGCGCAGAGAAGCGCCGGGAAGCGCCGGGGAGCGCCGGGGAGCGCAGAGAAGCAAACGGGCGUUAGACAAACCGUAGAGACGCACAAAGGGCGUUAGACAAACCGUAGAGACGCACAAAGGGCGUUAGACAAACCGUAGAGACGCACAAAGGGCGUUAGACAAACCGCAGAGGAGCACAAAGGGUGUUAGACAAACCGUAGAGACGCACAAAGGGUUUAAAUUUUGAUUUAAAGCUUUCGUGACUGCAGUAUAAUUCAUAUUCUUAGUUCUUUCGGUAAAGUCACCAAGUUGAAGGGAAACAACAAAAUAAUAAUAAAAUAUAUAUAAAACAGUAAAGGGCGUUAGACAAACCGCAGAGAAGCACAAAGGGCGUUAGAUAAACCGUAGAGACGCACAAAGGGUGUUAGACAAACCGCAGAGAAGCAUAAAGGGUGUUAGACAAACCGUAGAGAUGCAUAAAGGGUGUUAGACAAACCGUAGAGAAGCAUACGAGUGUUAGACACCGCAGAGAGGCAUACGGGUGUUAGACAAACCGCAGAGAAUCAUAAAGGGUGUUAGACAAACCGCAGAGAAUCAUAAAGGGUGUUAGACAAACCGCAGAGAAGCACAAAGGGUGUUAGACAAACCGCAGAGAAUCAUAAAGGGUGUUAGACAAACCGUAGGGAAGCACAAAGGGUGUUAGACAAACCAUAGAGAAGCAAACGGGUGUUAGACAAACCGCAGAGGAGCACAAAGGGUGUUAGACAAACCGCAGAGGAGCACAAAGGGUGUUAGACAAACCGCAGAGGAGCUCAAAGGGUGCUAGACAAACCGCAGAGAAGCACAAAGGGUGUUAGACAAACCUCAGAGAAGCAUACAGGUCUUAGACAAACCGCAGAGGAGCACAAAGGGCGUUAGACAAACCGCAGAGAAGGCUUGGCGAAGCGCCGAGAAGCAUUGGGAAGCGAAGUGAAGCAUUCGUUCGCAACUGAAAUCAUUACGGGAGCGCGCUGAAGCGUAGCGGAGCUGUACCCGCCGGGACACAGAGCACGCUGAAGGCACCCCGGGGGGAAGAGCAAACGUGAAAGCACCAAGGAGGCUCAGUGAAGCAGGCAUGCGCAUUUGUUGCGGGACAGCUCAGGAGAAGUGACUGCGAGGAGCACCAGGGAGGAAUCAGCAGGGAAGCGAGGCAAAAGGGGCCUCAACGGUAACAGGAUUCAAGGAAGGAGUCCGCUUUGGACCAGGCGACAGCUGGGAGCAAACAGCGAGGGCAGUCGGAACCUCACUCCCCCCCCCCCCCGGGGACAAGCGGAAGGAGGGGCAGCAGUUGGAACGAAGAACACUUCCCAAUUGGGAACCGGGAGAGUUUCUUUAACGAGGGGUGGCAGUUGGAACAAAGGGAGUUUCUUUAACGAGGGGUGGCAGUUGGAACAAAGGGAGUUUCUUUAACGAGGGGUGGCAGUUGGAACAAAGGGAGUUUAUUUAACGAGGGGUGGCAGUUGGAACAAAGGGAGUUUCAUUAACGAGGGGUGGCAGUUGGAACAAAGGGAGUUUCUUUAACCAAAGAGACAGUUGAAACAGAACAGUUUUCUUUAACCAAAGGGGCAGUUGGAACAAAGGCAGUUUCUUAAACGAAAGAGACAGUUGGAACAAAGGGAGUUUCUUUAACGAGGGGUGGCAGUUGGAACAAAGGGAGUUUUAUUAACGAGGGGUGGCAGUUGGAACAAAGGGAGUUUCUUUAACGAGGGGUGGCAGUUGGAACAAAGGGAGUUUCUUAAACGAAAGAGACAGUUGGAACAAAGGGAGUUUCUUUAACGAGGGGUGGCAGUUGGAACAAAGGGAGUUUCUUUAACGAGGGGUGGCAGUUGGAACAAAGAGAGUUUCUUUAACCAAAGGGGUGGCAGUUGGAACAAAGGGAGUUUCUUUAACGAGGGGUGGCAGUUGGAACAAAGGGAGUUUCUUUAACCAAAGGGGUGGCAGUUGGAACAAAGGGAGUUUCUUUAACGAGGGGUGGCAGUUGGAACAAAGGGAGUUUCUUUAACCAAAGGGGUGGCAGUUGGAACAAAGGGAGUUUCUUUAACGAGGGGUGGCAGUUGGAACAAAGGGAGUUUCUUUAACGAGGGGUGGCAGUUGGAACAAAGGGAGUUUCUUUAACGAGGGGUGGCUGUUGGAACAAAAAGAGUUUCUUUAACGAGGGGUGACAGUUUGAACAAAGGCAGUUUCUUUAACGAGGGGUGGCAGUUGGAACAAAGGGAGUUUCUUUAACCAAAGAGACAGUUGGAACAGAACAGUUUUCUUUAACCAAAGGGGCAGUUGGAACAAAGGCAGUUUCUUAAACGAAAGAGACAGUUGGAACAAAGGGAGUUUCUUUAACCAAAGGGACAGUUGGAACAAAGGGAGUUUCUUAACCAAAGGGACAGUUGGAACAAAAGGGGUUUCUAAAACGAAAGAGACAGUUGGAACAGAACAGUUUUCUUUAACAGGAGGUGUCAGUUGGAACAAAAGCGGUUUCUUAAACGAAAGAGACAGUUGGAACAGAACAGUUUUCUUGAACAAGGGGUGUCAGUUGGAACAAAGGCGGUUUCUUAAACGAAAGAGACAGUUGGAACAGAACAGUUUUCUUGAACAAGGGGUGUCAGUUGGAACAAAGGCGGUUUCUUAAACGAAAGAGACAGUCAGAACAAAACAGUUUUCUUGAACAAAAGGUGGCAGUUGGAACCAAGGGAGUUUCUUAAACGAAAGAGACAGUUGGAACAGAACAGUUUUCUUAAAAAAAAAGGUGGCAGUUGGAACAAAAGCGGUUUCUUAAACGAAAGAGACAGGUGGAACAGAACAGUUUUCUUGAACAAGGGGUGGCAGUUGGAACACAAGCGGUUUCUUUAACCAAAGAGACAGUUGGAACAGACCAGUUUUCUUGAACAAGGGGUGUCAGUUGGAACAAAAGCGUUUUAUUAAACGAAAGAGACAGUCGGAACAGAACAGUUUUCUUGAACAAGGGGUGGCAGUUGGAACAAAGGCAGUUUCUUAAACGAAAGAGACAGUUGGAACGGAACAGUUUUCUUUAACAAGGGGUGUCAGUUGGAACAAAAGCGGCUUCUUAAACGAAAGAGACAGUUGGAACAGUACAGUUUUCUUUAACAAGGGGUGUCAGUUGGAACACAAGCGGCUUCUUAAAACAAAAGAGACAGUUGGAACAGAACAGUUUUCUUUAACAAGGGGUGUCAGUUGGAACAAAGGCAGUUUCUUUAACGAAAGAGACAGUUGGAACAGAACAGUUUUCUUUAACAGGAGGUGUCAGUUGGAACAAAAGCGGUUUCUUAAACGAAAGAUACAGUUGAAACAGAACAGUUUUCUUUAACAAGGGGUGUCAGUUGGAACAAAGGCGGUUUCUUUAACGAAAGAGACAGUUGUAACAGAACAGUUUUCUUUAACAAGGGGUGGCAGUUGGAACAAACGCGGUUUCUUAAACUAAAGAGACAGUUGGAACAGAACAGUUUUCUUUAACAAGGGGUGGCAGUUGGAACAAAGGCGCUUUCUUAAACGAAUGAUACAGUCGGAACAGAACAGUUUUCUUGAACAAGAGGUGUCAGUUGGAACAAAAGCGGCUUCUUAAACGAAAGAGACAGUUGGAACAGAACAUUUUUCCUUAACAAGGGGUGUCAGUUGGAACAAAAGCGGUUUCUUUAACGGCAGGGGCAGUUGAGAGAAAUCAUCUUGUUUAACAAGAGGUGUCAGUUGGGAUCAAAGGCAGUUUCUUCACCGAAAGGGACAGUUGUAACGAAGCAGUUUUCUCGUGCAAAAUGUAGCAAUCGGACACGGGAGACCGUGGAACAAGGGGGCUCGUGCGACGGAAAGGAAUUCCCUUUACAAUGGACGCUUGAAACAAAAGCGCAUUUUGGAGCAGAGUGGCAGUUGGAACAAGUCAAUUGCUGGAACGGAACAUAAAAGAUUGGAGCAAGGGUAAACUGCAUUGAACAAUCGAGCUAUCGGCACAACGGCAAAA